ACGAGCGGAGUGACGGGAGACUGUCACGCUCCGUUCCGUGGGAGCCCGGGGUGAAACUCCCCCGGGCCACCCGGC
rnacentral:ncRNA from 1 species